CCUACGGGAGGCAGCAGUGGGGAAUAUUGGGCAAUGGGCGCAAGCCUGACCCAGCAACGCCGCGUGAAGGAAGAAGGCUUUCGGGUUGUAAACUUCUUUUCUGAGGGACGAAGAAAGUGACGGUACCUCAGGAAUAAGCCACGGCUAACUACGUGCCAGCAGCCGCGGUAAUACGUAGGUGGCAAGCGUUAUCCGGAUAUAUUGGGUGUAAAGGGCGUGUAGGCGGGAAAGCAAGUCAGAUGUGAAAACUAAGGGCUCAACCCUUAGCCUUCAUGUGAAACUGUUUUUCUUGAGUGCUGGAGAGGCAAUCGGAAUUCCGUGUGUAGCGGUGAAAUGCGUAGAUAUACGGAGGAACACCAGUGGCGAAGGCGGAUUGCUGGACAGUAACUGACGCUGAGGCGCGAAAGCGUGGGGAGCAAACAGGAUUAGAUACCCGAGUAGUC
rnacentral:rRNA from 1 species